GACGAACCGUGCGAACGUUAUUCGGAAUCACUGGGCUUAAAGCGCGUGUAGGCGGGACGGCACGUCUGUCGCUGAAAUCCCCCGGCUCAACCGGGGAACGGGCGCGGAUACGACCGUCCUGGAGGGGCGUAGGGGGACCUGGAACUUCCGGUGGAGCGGUGAAAUGCGUUGAGAUCGGAAGGAACACCCGUGGCGAAAGCGAGGUCCUGGACGCUUACUGACGCUGAGACGCGAAAGCCAGGGGAGCGAACGGG
rnacentral:rRNA from 1 species